GACGAGGGGUCCUAGCGUUGUUCGGAAUUACUGGGCGUAAAGCGCAUGUAGGCGGCUCGAUAAGUCAGAUGUGAAAUUCCUGGGCUCAACCCAGGGCGUGCAUUUGAUACUGUCGAGCUUGAGUAUGGGAGAGGGUAGUAGAAUUCCUGGUGUAGUGGUGAAAUACGUAGAUAUCAGGAGGAAUACCGGUGGCGAAGGCGGCUGCCUGGCCCAAUACUGACGUUGAGAUGCGAAAGCGUGGGGAGCAAACAGG
rnacentral:rRNA from 1 species